UCUUCCGGGUAACUCCCAGUCGCAGCCAGUGGAAAGAUGGGGCCCGGUGUGACUCCGGUGGCUUCCUCAGGAGAGGAGAAAAUGUUUCAAUCUAACGGAGGCCCCGGUAACUUACCGAAACACUCCUACUGGGUGGAUCUGUGGGUGUUUCUGCUUUUUGACAUCGCUUUGUUUCUCUUCGUAUAUUUCAUCGUCCCGUAAAAAGGAUCGACCCUUUGACUGGCUGCUCAUCCCCUGCUGUGCUGUGAGAAGGCUAACCCAGCUUUAACUGAAUGUAACCAUGCAGCAGCUUUCCUCAGCUCCGUCCAAAGAUCCUCACCUUUCACGGACUUCAGCAAGAAGCUCUUCAAUAACUAAUCGGACGGAUUCCCUGUCGUCUCUGGCAGAUGAUAGUUUGAAGUAUUUUUUUUUUGUUUUUGCUGAGAUCCUUAAAACAUCUCAACUGACUUUUAUCCCCGAGACUCAGCAAACGUGUCUGCAGAUUACUUAAGAUACUUCUGGUAUCACUGUAAAUGUUAUAUAAUCUCUAAUUUUGUGUGUCUUUUUUUCCGGAAAGAACAGAUAACUUUCAGGAAAUGUAUGUUUUUUUUUUUGUCAUAUAUAUGUAACUGGUGUUGGGACCAAUGAUGAAACGAGCGCAAGAACAUUUUAUUUAUUGAAAACUAUGUUGAUGCGGAGGAAACUCUAAGCAAACUCUUGGCAAUUUGCACACAGAUAACUCAUGAACGAAUAAAAUGUUCUACCAACUAAAA